GGUGAGUACAGCGGCGGACGGGUGAGUAACGCGUAGGAAUCUACCCUUUUGCGGAGGAUGACCCGGGGAAACUCGGGCUAAUACUGCAUACGCUCCAAGGAGCAAAGCGGGGGUCUUUCGAGACCUCGCACAGAAGGAUGAGCCUGCGUCUGAUUAGCUAGUUGGUGGGGUAAAGGCCUACCAAGGCGACGAUCAGUAGCUGGUUUGAGAGGAUGAUCAGCCACACCGGGACUGAGACACGGCCCGGACUCCUACGGGAGGCAGCAGUGGGGAAUAUUGGACAAUGGGCGAAAGCCUGAUCCAGCCAUGCCGCGUGUGUGAAGAAGGCUCUAGGGUUGUAAAGCACUUUAAGCAGGAAAGAAAAGCGCCGGGUUAAUACCCCGAGCGUCCUGACGGUACCUGCAGAAUAAGCACCGGCAAACUCCGUGCCAGCAGCCGCGGUAAUACGGAGGGUGCAAGCGUUAAUCGGAAUUACUGGGCGUAAAGCGAGCGCAGGCGGUUGCGUGUGUCGGAUGUGAAAGCCCUGGGCUCAACCUGGGAAUUGCAUUCGAAACUGCGCGACUAGAAUAUGGUAGAGGAAGACGGAAUUCCACGUGUAGCGGUGAAAUGCGUA
rnacentral:rRNA from 1 species